UACGGAGGGUGCAAACGUUGCUCGGAAUCACUGGGCGUAAAGGGUGCGUAGGCGGCUUGAUCAGUCAGAUGUGAAAGCCCUCGGCUCAACCGAGGAAUUGCAUUUGAUACUGUCAAGCUUGAGUUCGGUAGAGGGAAGCGGAAUUCCUGGUGUAGCGGUGAAAUGCGUUGAUAUCAGGAGGAACAUCAGUGGCGAAGGCGGCUUCCUGGGCCGAUACUGACGCUAAGGCACGAAAGCGUUGGGUAGCAAACGGG
rnacentral:misc_RNA from 1 species